UACGUAGGGGGCGAGCGUUGUCCGGAUUCAUUGGGCGUAAAGCGCGGGCAGGCGGCCCGCUCAGUCGGCCGUGAAAGCGCCGGGCUCAACUCGGCGAGGUCGGGCGAUACUGGCGGGCUCGAGGCUGGUAGAGGGCGGUGGAAUUCCGGGUGUAGUGGUGGAAUGCGCAGAUAUCAGGAAGAACACCCGUGGCGAAAGCGGCUCUCUGGAACGGUACUGACGCUGAGACGCGAAAGCGUGGGGAGCAAACAGG
rnacentral:rRNA from 1 species